CGGAGGCCUGCACAUCCAGCAGAGCGGCCAAAAAGGGGUACACUACACCGCUACUCCAAGGCGGGCGGCUGGCUGGCUGGCUGGCGCGCUCCGCACCCACCCGCACCCGCGGGCGGCGGUCGCCUAGGCUCGGCGGCGGAACUGCGCCUGCGCGGUGAGCGCGGACGCCCUCGCCUUCGCACGCCGGGUGACGUGCCGGCGCUUCUCUGGCUUCGGGCAGAGUGGAGGUGGACUUUCUCCUCAACCCUGUGGACAGCAGAAAGCGGCCGAGCGCAAGACGGACAGUGGGAAGAAGUAUAUCACUACUUCCUCGUCUACGACUAGAAGACGUUGCCCAGGAGGGUGAUCCUUGCCACUAAGUUACCUGUCAGGAUGCCAAGCCUAUGUGAGGAAGAAAAUGAGAGGUCUGUUUGCCACAUAGCUGAUAGGUACUGGGCAUAGCGAAAGCAGAUGGCCUGUGUCCAGCUUCCACCAGAAUUACAGUCAUCCUGCAAAAGAUGGCAGCACAAACUUGACCCACCUUUCUGUUGUCCACCAAAACUUCUUGCAGCUUUCUUCUAACAAGGGGCAAUGCCUCCAGACAUCCAAGUCGAAGACUGCUCAACAAGCAUGAGAGAGAAAACUGAAGCUCAGAGAAGAUAAAUCAUUUCCCCAAACGUACUCAGCUGAUAGGAUUCGAAGUGUGGUUACUCUAAAAGCCCAGAUUUGUUUGUUUGUUUUACUGUGAUAUAAUGUCUCUCCUAUUUCACCUUUUAUCACCAUGAACUGCCUCUUCCUUGGCUUGUCAGCUCUCUUAAGCUCCUCCUCUCCAGUGCUCCCUAACUUCUGGCAUACCCUUAAGAUUAAAUUCUGUAUUAUAUCCA
ensembl:lncRNA